rnacentral:lncRNA from 1 species
AAACACGCCUGUUGCCAGGAACAUUGCUGCCUCAGCCAGCAGAAUGUGGGACCCUUCUCCUCCCUCACUGGAGCUGACAUCCCGCUGAAACAACAGAGGAAACCGGAGGGAUCUUCCUGUCAGGACUGCCAUGGUUGCUGCGGCAGAAAUAUGAACUAGCUGACACACAUGAAGGAGAGGAUUGGAUUUGAGGAGAUACUGACGGGGGUGCACAGCUGCAACAGUCCCCUCCAUCUCCACACCAGGACUAAUCCCCCCCCCCUCUCUCUCUCUCUCCCUCCCUGUGUGUUUGACUCUCCCUCUGUCGCACUCUCUCUGCUUUCUGCCUCUCGGAGGGGUGGGGGGUGCCAUAUGGGAGCUCAGAAAAAUGGAAGUGGAGCGGAGAUAGACAAGAGAGGAAUCUGUCAUUCUCGGGCUCGGAUGUCGGGGAUCUAUGUGAGAGGCGAACUAAAAUCUGACCCCAGGCAGCGAAACCCCCAGAGCAAGACACUUCCAUGA